UUCACCACGGAAUUCAUGACCUCUACACACGAUUGCCUUUUCAUUGAUACCACCCACAACAAAUCGUUGGCCACACAAUCCCAAUCAUGAACCGCCACUGCAAAGGCCUACACCACACCCUUCAACACCAACCGCAUUUUACCCAAUUUUACCUUGUCACCAUCAAUUAACUACUACAUCGUCACCCACAAACCAUACAACUACCAUUUUAC
rnacentral:lncRNA from 1 species